CGCGGGUCUGGCGACUCCCCCCGGUCGCCAGUCUCGCGAAGGUGGCCCCUGUCUUCCCCCAGACGGGGGCCACCGCUC
rfam:Intrasporangium calvum DSM 43043, complete genome.